UAAGGCUAAAUAUGACCACGAGACCGAUAGCGAACAAGUACCGUGAGGGAAAGUUGAAAAGCACUUUGAAGAGAGAGUUCAAGAGUACGUGAAACCGUUCAGGGGUAAACCUGAGAAACCCGAAAGGUCGAAAGGGGAAAUUCAUUCGCGUUUCGGCCGUUGGCGUUGGAUGGUCGUGUGACGGAUGGCUUUCGGGUCGUCUGCGCCUUCCGUUUUUCGAACCGGCGUCGAACGCGUGCACUUUUCCCCUAGUAGGACGUCGCGAUCCGUUGGGUGUCGGUCUAAGGCCCGUGGUGGAGCCCGUGCGUUCGGCUUGCCGUUUCGCGCGGACCCUCGGUGUCCCGACCGACUCGCUCGACGGUAUACAGAUGGCGCGGGGCCGCUAUUUAGUUAGCGUCCGGCCCGUGGCAAGCGCGCUGGGUGUGCUGGCGAUCGGACCUAGUGCCGGUCCUGGCCCCCAGUGACUGUUGGCCACGGUGUUCUCGGACAGACCUCGUUGAAACGCCGAUCUGCGACGCUAUAGCUUUGGGUACUUUCAGGACCCGUCUUGAAACACGGACCAAGGAGUCUAGCAUGUGCGCGAGUCAUUGGGACAUAACUAAACCUAAAGGCGCAAUGAAAGUGAAGGUUUGCCUUGCGCAGACCGAGGGAGGAUAGGUGGUUCGCCCUUAAAGUGGCCAUCUCGCACUCCCGGGGCGUCUCGUUCUCAUUGCGAGAAGAGGCGCACCAAGAGCGUACACGCUGGGACCCGAAAGAUGAUGAACUAU
rnacentral:rRNA from 1 species